rnacentral:rRNA from 1 species
UGAGGAAUAUUGCGCAAUGGGCGAAAGCCUGACGCAGCGACGCCGCGUGGAGGAUGAAGGUUUUCGGAUUGUAAACUCCUGUUAAGUGGGAAGAAACGACAAAAUAUAAUACAUUUUGUAACUGACGGUACCAUUAAAGAAAGCACCGGCUAACUUCGUGCCAGCAGCCGCGGUAAUACAGAGGGUGCAAGCGUUAAUCGGAAUUACUGGGCGUAAAGCGCACGUAGGCGGUUUUUUAAGUCAGAUGUGAAAGCCCCGGGCUCAACCUGGGAAUUGCAUUUGAAACUGGGAAACUAGAGUGUGUGAGAGGGGGGUAGAAUUCCAAGUGUAGCGGUGAAAUGCGUAGAGAUUUGGAGGAAUACCAGUGGCGAAGGCGGCCCCCCGGCACAACACUGACGCUCAGGUGCGAAAAGCGUGGGGCAGCAAACAGGAUUAGAUACCCUGGUAGUCCACGCCGUAAACGAUGUCUACUAGCUGUUCGUGACCUUGUGUUGUGAGUAGCGCAGCUAACGCACUAAGUAGACCGCCUGGGGAGUACGGUCGCAAGAUUAAAACUUAAAUGAAUUGACGGGGUCAUAGCUGUUUCCUG